CCUCCGUUGGUGAACCAGCGGAGGGAUCAUUACUGUGUUACACAACUCCCAAACCCAUGUGAACUUACCUGUCGUUGCUUCGGCGGACCGCCUCGGGGCCCAUCGGCCGCGCAUCCACGGCGCCCGCCGGGGGCUCGAAAGACUCUUGUUUUUUUAUACGCAGACUUCUGGGUGGCAUUUAUUACAAAUAAAUCAAAGCUUUCAACAACGGAUCUCUUGGUUCUG
rnacentral:misc_RNA from 1 species